CUACGGGAGGCAGCAGUAGGGAAUCUUCCGCAAUGGGCGAAAGCCUGACGGAGCAACGCCGCGUGAGUGAUGAAGGUCUUCGGAUCGUAAAACUCUGUUAUUAGGGAAGAACAUAUGUGUAAGUAACUGUGCACAUCUUGACGGUACCUAAUCAGAAAGCCACGGCUAACUACGUGCCAGCAGCCGCGGUAAUACGUAGGUGGCAAGCGUUAUCCGGAAUUAUUGGGCGUAAAGCGCGCGUAGGCGGUUUGUUAAGUCUGAUGUGAAAUCCCACGGCUCAACCGUGGAGGGUCAUUGGAAACUGGAAAACUUGAGUGCAGAAGAGGAAGGUGGAAUUCCAUGUGUAGCGGUGAAAUGCGCAGAGAUAUGGAGGAACACCAGUGGCGAAGGCGACUUUCUGGUCUGUAACUGACGCUGAUGUGCGAAAGCGUGGGGAUCAAACAGGAUUAGAUACCCUGGUAGUCC
rnacentral:rRNA from 1 species